GAAGAUGUAGCUCAGUGGUAGAGCAUUUGCCUAGCGAGCAUAAGGUCCUGAGUUCAAUCCCCAGUGCCCCCA
rnacentral:tRNA from 1 species